GAAAAUUGCCUCUCACAAAAAUUUGGUACCAAAACUAAAUAGAGAACCCCUGGUCUAUGCAAGUGCCCUACACCAUUGUGCACUGGUAUGUUUGUGUAGCUCUGCUUUUUCCGGCUAAAACACUGGUAGACUUUCGUUUAGACUUUCUAAAUGUUACCAAGACAUGCUGGAUGCUGCAUUAUCUGAUAAACUGUUAUUGCAAACAAAAAAUACUGUCUAAGGUGAUUUCUGAGGCCUCUGCCAGCAGUGAACUAGUCUCUAUCAUAUGUAGGCUAUGCUGUAUCUACGGAGAACUAAAAAUGUUAGUUCACCUUCCAACACAUUGCUUCGUCAAUGAAAAUUAUCCAACAAUGGGCAAGUGUGAGUUUUCUGAGUUAUAAUAAAUAUAAAAAACCUGGUUCUAAAAUGGCAAAACGUGUACAGCUCUCUGUCUUAUGGCGCCCAUGUCUU